AUACGUAGGUGGUAAGCGUUAUCCGGAUUUACUGGGUGUAAAGGGCGCGUAGGCGGGGGUGCAAGUCAGAUGUGAAAUCUAUGGGCUUAACUCAUAAACUGCAUUUGAAACUGUAUCUCUUGAGUGCUGGAGAGGUAGACGGAAUUCCUUGUGUAGCGGUGAAAUGCGUAGAUAUAAGGAAGAACACCAGUGGCGAAGGCGGUCUACUGGACAGUAACUGACGCUGAGGCGCGAAAGCGUGGGGAGCGAACAGGAUUAGAUACCCUGGUAGUCCACGCGGUAAACGAUGAAUGCUAGGUGUAGGGGGUAUCGACCCCUCCUGUGCCGGAGUGAACACAAUAAGCAUUCCGCCUGGGGAGUACGGCCGCAAGGUUGAAACUCAAAUGAAUUGACGGGG
rnacentral:rRNA from 1 species